rnacentral:rRNA from 1 species
GACGAACGCUGGCGGCGUGCUUAACACAUGCAAGUCGAGCGGAGCGGCGAACGGGUGAGUAACGCGGGAGUAACUGCACCCCUCCCUGGGAUAACAGUUGGAAACGGCUGCUAAUACCGGAUAGUGGGGGAUGACUCGCCUCCUAUCAGCUUGGUGGUGGGGUAGUGGCCUACCAAGGCGACGCCGGGUAGCCGGCCUGAGAGGGCGACCUGCCACAUUGGGCUUAGAUACGGCCCACACUCCUACGGGAGGCAGCAGUGGGGAAUAUUGGACAAUGGGGGCAACCCUGAUCCAGCCAUGCCGCGUGCAUGAUGAAGGCCUUCGGAUUGUAAACUACUUUUGGCAGGGAAGUGUUAAUACCCUAGGCUGCUGACGUUACCUGCAGAAGAAGCACCGGCUAACUACGUGCCAGCAGCCGCGGUAAUUC